rnacentral:rRNA from 1 species
CGUUGUCCGGAAUUACUGGGCGUAAAGAGCUCGUAGGUGGUUUGUCGCGUUGUUCGUGAAAUCUCACGGCUUAACUGUGAGCGUGCGGGCGAUACGGGCAGACUUGAGUACUGCAGGGGAGACUGGAAUUCCUGGUGUAGCGGUGGAAUGCGCAGAUAUCAGGAGGAACACCGGUGGCGAAGGCGGGUCUCUGGGCAGUAACUGACGCUGAGGAGCGAAAGCGUGGGGAGCGAACAGGAUUAGAUACCCUGGUAGUCCACGCCGUAAACGGUGGGUACUAGGUGUGGGUUUCCUUCCUUGGGAUCCGUGUCGUAGCUAACGCAUUAAGUACCCCGCCUGGGGAGUACGGCCGCAAGGCUAAAACUCAAAGAAAUUGACGGGGGCCCGCACAAGCGGCGGAGCAUGUGGAUUAAUUCGAUGCAACGCGAAGAACCUUACCUGGGUUUGACAUGCACAGGACGCCGGCAGAGAUGUCGGUUCCCUUGUGGCCUGUGUGCAGGUGGUGCAUGGCUGUCGUCAGCUCGUGUCGUGAGAUGUUGGGUUAAGUCCCGCAACGAGCGCAACCCUUGUCUCAUGUUGCCAGCGGGUAAUGCCGGGGACUCGUGAGAGACUGCCGGGGUCAACUCGGAGGAAGGUGGGGAUGACGUCAAGUCAUCAUGCCCCUUAUGUCCAGGGCUUCACACAUGCUACAAUGGCCGGUACAAAGGGCUGCGAUGCCGCGAGGUUAAGCGAAUCCUUUUAAAGCCGGUCUCAGUUCGGAUCGGGGUCUGCAACUCGACCCCGUGAAGUCGGAGUCGCUAGUAAUC